rnacentral:rRNA from 1 species
UACGAAGGGGGCUAGCGUUGCUCGGAAUCACUGGGCGUAAAGCGCACGUAGGCGGAUUGCUAAGUCAGGGGUGAAAUCCUGGAGCUCAACUCCAGAACUGCCUUUGAUACUGGCGAUCUCGAGUCCGGGAGAGGUGAGUGGAACUGCGAGUGUAGAGGUGAAAUUCGUAGAUAUUCGCAAGAACACCAGUGGCGAAGGCGGCUCACUGGCCCGGAACUGACGCUGAGACGCGAAAGCGUGGGGAGCAAACAGGG